rnacentral:lncRNA from 1 species
GGUGGCUGGGAUUUUUAUUGUGUUCAUAAUUUUUUUUUCAGAACCUUCCUCCGACAAAAUAUUUUUUUUCUUAUGAGAAGGAAAGCAAAAUUUUUUUUCCUAUAAUGUGGAACAGAAAUACAAUUUUUUUUUCACAAAACCAUAAAAUUAACAUAAAAUUCAUUUUAAUUUUUUAAUUGAUGUAAAAUGUAAAGUGCAUGGCUCUGUCUAUAUCCUGGCAUUGGCUGUUGUCUCAGUUGUUUUUUUUUAGCCCACUUUCUACAUUAUGAUAUUCUCGGAGUCCGUCAUACAGGUAUCCUUAAAUUUUAAUACUGCAAUUGAAGUGG